rnacentral:rRNA from 1 species
GUUGUAUAGUCAAGUAAUUAAGUGCAUGUGGUGGAUGCCUUGGCAGUCAGAGGCGAUGAAAGACGUGAUAGCCUGCGAAAAGCUCCGGGGAGGCGGCAAAUAUCCUUUGAUCCGGAGAUGUCUGAAUGGGGGAACCCACCUACUUUAAGGUAGGUAUUGCAACAUGAAUACAUAGUGUUGCAAGGCGAACGAGGGGAAGUGAAACAUCUCAGUACCCUUAGGAAAAGAAAUCAAUUGAGAUUCCCUCAGUAGCGGCGAGCGAACGGGGAUCAGCCCAUUAAGUUAUGUGUGUUUUAGUGGAACGCUCUGGGAAGUGCGAACGUAGAGGGUGAUAUUCCCGUACACGAAAGGGCACACAUAAUGAUGACGAGUAGGGCGAGGCACGUGAAACCUUGUCUGAAUAUGGGGGGACCAUCCUCCAAGGCUAAAUACUCCUGACUGACCGAUAGUGAACCAGUACCGUGAGGGAAAGGCGAAAAGAACCCCUGUGAGGGGAGUGAAAUAGAUCCUGAAACCGCAUGCAUACAAGCAGUGGGAGCACCUUCGUGGUGUGACUGCGUACCUUUUGUAUAAUGGGUCAGCGACUUAUAUUCAGUAGCGAGGUUAACCGUAUAGGGGAGCCGUAGAGAAAUCGAGUCUUAAUAGGGCGUUUAGUUGCUGGGUAUAGACCCGAAACCAGGCGAUCUAUCCAUGAGCAGGUUGAAGGUUGGGUAACACUAACUGGAGGACCGAACCCACUGUCGUUGAAAAGCCAGGGGAUGACUUGUGGAUAGGGGUGAAAGGCUAAUCAAGCCUGGUGAUAGCUGGUUCUCCCCGAAAGCUAUUUAGGUAGCGCCUCGGACGAAUACCAUAGGGGGUAGAGCACUGUUUCGGCUAGGGGGUCAUCCCGACUUACCAAACCGAUGCAAACUCCGAAUACCUAUGAGUACUAUCCGGGAGACAGACUGCGGGUGCUAACGUCCGUAGUCAAGAGGAAAACAAUCCAGACCGCCAGCUAAGGCCCCAAAAUCAUAGUUAAGUGGGAAACGAUGUGGGAAGGCAUAGACAGCUAGGAGGUUGGCUUAGAAGCAGCCACCCUUUAAAGAAAGCGUAAUAGCUCACUAGUCGAGUCGGCCUGCGCGGAAGAUGUAACGGGGCUAAAACUAUGUGCCGAAGCUGCGGAUGUAUACUUUGUAUACGUGGUAGGGGAGCGUUCUGUAAGCCGAUGAAGGUGUGUUGAGAAGCAUGCUGGAGGUAUCAGAAGUGCGAAUGCUGACGUGAGUAACGACAAAACGGGUGAAAAACCCGUUCGCCGAAAGACCAAGGGUUCCAGUCCAACGUUAAUCGGGGCUGGGUGAGUCGACCCCUAAGGCGAGGCCGAAAGGCGUAGUCGAUGGGAAAAUGGUUAAUAUUCCAUUACUUCUGUGUAAUGCGAUGAGAGGACGGAGAAGGCUAAAUCAGCCUGGCGUUGGUUGUCCAGGUGAAAGGAUGUAGGCAUGUAUCUUAGGCAAAUCCGGGGUACUCUAUGCUGAGAUCUGAU